GACUGCCUGGGCAGGGAAGCCCAUGCCCAGGACGCCGUCAAAUUUGGCCAGCAUGAAGGGCCUCAGGGGCAGCUCCGUGACCUCGCCAAAGGUUGGACACCUACUCUGUGCCUGCACCACGCUGGAUGCUAGAGAUAAAAAGACCAUCACCGCCUUCGAGGGGCUCCAGCGGAUGGGAAGACGGAGGAGGAAACAGCACGACGUCCCCCUAAGGAGGUGAAGGCUGGGCAAGCCGGCUCACGGCUGGAUGGGUGAGGCAGUGCCACGCGGGGCCUGCAGGUGGCAGCACAUGCCCGCACGGCCGGGGCGGGGGCUCCAGGAAGCAGCAGGCAGCACCGGGCCCUGGGCCUGGACUGGGCGGGGUCGGGGAAGGCAGGCGUCUCCAGGGUGCCCGAGCAGCCUGCCCUCGGGAAGAAGCGCCUUCCUGAGCCUAGGUCCCAGGCCCUCCGCUUCUGGUCCCGUCACCUUCGGGAGGCAGAGUUAAAGAGAACUGGGAAACUCACUCGCCCUGAGCUGCCACCGUGCGGGCACCCCGCGCCGUGCAGGCCACCGCCACCACAUGACCUCGUUCCCAUCCUGCAGGCUGGCUGUCCUCACUCUGGGGUGAGGGAUGAGGCGACUCAGGAGUAGGUGCAGCAGGGAUUCGAGGUGCCCUGACUGGCCCAUCUCCCACAGAGGGGCACCGGACUCCGACGUGAAGGCUGUGUGCCUGAGCCGUUGUUGGGGGUCCCGGGCUUGCAGCCCAAAGCCUGGAGGGUCCCUAUUUCUUCUGUACUUGCACUAGCCUUUCCUUCUCAGGCCCCAUGCAUUUUGCCCACAAACGUGAAUGCAACUUUCAUGCUUGUUGGUGUUAAUAUUUUAACAGAAAUGACUUGCCAUAUUCAUAACAUGGUCUGUCCUUCCACAAAGUAUUUUCACGACUAUGAUCUAUUUGAUUCGCAGCCAUCACCUGAGGAAGCAGGCUUGGAUUCAGCCUGGAAUUGACUGUCUCUGCUGGGGCUCCCACGGUGCAGACACGCGCCUUCUGUGAAAGCACAGGCCUCGAAUGUCCUCUCUCGGAACCAUUUCGAUGUGCACGCCUCUGCCUCUCACCCAGAGUGGUACUCCCCGCUCAUCAAAUGAGUGCCCAGUGAACCGACAGGCAGGGCCAGGGGCCUGGCUUCGGGUUCUGACUGUACCCCCAACUUGCCGCAUGUCGUGGGGGUGUCCGCCCCUCUCUGGGCCGUAGUCCCCAGGCGGUGUGAGGAAGCAGACGCCGGGCGACCCCAGGGUGCCCACCCGUGAGGACGCUCCAGCAGCCAAGUCCCGUGUCUUCAGAAUGCUCCUCUCUGCACCUAUGGGCAGAAAGAACUUAACCGGCAGAGCGAAACUCUGUUGCUGGUGUGCAGACUACUUAAUGCGUCGGGAUCUCUGAAAUUACAACACCCUUGCCGAGGGAUGGGAGAAGCUGGUGCUUCUUGGAACAAACUCUCACUGGAGAAUUUUCAAGCAUUGUGGUUGGCACUGGGGGAAGCAUUUGAGGGGCCAGGAGAACCUUUUCGUGGGAACUUCUGUCUUAUCAGACUAAAUAAAUAGUUAUUAAACUGAA